UACAGAGGUCUCGAGCGUUAGGCGGAAUCACUGGGCUUAAAGCGUGUGUAGGCGGAUGUCUAAGUACCUUGUGAAAUCCCACGGCUUAACCGUGGAAUAGCUUGGUAUACUGGAUGUCUUGAGCCAUCUAGGGGCGACUGGAACGAAUGGUGGAGCGGUGAAAUGCGUAGAUAUCAUUCGGAACGCCUGUGGUGAAAACGGGUCGCUGGGGAUGUGCUGACUCUGAGACACGAAAGCCAGGGGAGCAAACGGG
rnacentral:rRNA from 1 species